CCUACGGGAGGCAGCAGUGGGGAAUAUUGCACAAUGGGGGAAACCCUGAUGCAGCGACGCCGCGUGAGUGAAGAAGUAAUUCGUUAUGUAAAGCUCUAUCAGCAGGGAAGAAAAUGACGGUACCUGAGUAAGAAGCCCCGGCUAACUACGUGCCAGCAGCCGCGGUAAUACGUAGGGGGCAAGCGUUAUCCGGAUUUACUGGGUGUAAAGGGAGCGUAGACGGGAGUGCAAGUCUGGGGUGAAAGGCUGGGGCUCAACCCCCGGACUGCUUUGGAAACUGUACGGCUGGAGUGCAGGAGAGGUAGGUGGAAUUCCUGGUGUAGCGGUGAAAUGCGUAGAUAUUAGGAGGAACACCAGUGGCGAAGGCAGCUUACUGUACUGUAACUGACGUUGAGGCUCGAAAGCGUGGGGAGCAAACAGGAUUAGAUACCCGGGUAGUC
rnacentral:rRNA from 1 species